GGAGGGAGAAAGCGAACACGUCCGCUGCCGGCGACCCCGCACGGACCUCGAGAGAGAACCAUAGAUUUACAUCGUCCAGAACCUAUUGACCAUGUAGACGGAAAUUGGAAUUAUAGUGGACACAAUAAUAUUAUAUUGAAGAAAAAAAAAGAA